rnacentral:lncRNA from 1 species
CAGCUGUGUUUGGCUGCAGGGCCAAGAGCGCUGUCAAGAAGACCCACACGCCCCCCUCCAGCAGCUGAAUUCCUGCAGCUCAGCAGCCGCCGCCAGAGCAGGACGAACCGCCAAUCGCAAGGCACCUCUGAGAACUUCAGAUGCAGAUGUCUCCAGCCCUCACCUGCCUAGUCCUGGGCCUGGCCCUUGUCUUUGGUGAAGGGUCUGCUGUGCACCAUCCCCCAUCCUACGUGGCCCACCUGGCCUCAGACUUCGGGGUGAGGGUGUUUCAGCAGGUGGCG